UACGUAGGGUGCGAGCGUUAAUCGGAAUUACUGGGCGUAAAGCGUGCGCAGGCGGCUUUGCAAGACAGAUGUGAAAUCCCCGGGCUCAACCUGGGAACUGCAUUUGUGACUGCAAGGCUGGAGUACGGUAGAGGGGGAUGGAAUUCCGCGUGUAGCAGUGAAAUGCGUAGAUAUGCGGAGGAACACCGAUGGCGAAGGCAAUCCCCUGGACCUGUACUGACGCUCAUGCACGAAAGCGUGGGGAGCAAACAGG
rnacentral:rRNA from 1 species